rnacentral:rRNA from 1 species
CGCUAGCUACAGGCUUAACACAUGCAAGUCGAGGGGAAACGACAUCGAAAGCUUGCUUUUGAUGGGCGUCGACCGGCGCACGGGUGAGUAACGCGUAUCCAACCUGCCCACCACUUGGGAAUAACCUUGCGAAAGUAAGACUAAUACCCAAUGACGUCUCUAGAAGACAUCUGAAGGAGAUUAAAGAUUUAUCGGUGAUGGAUGGGGAUGCGUCUGAUUAGCUUGUUGGCGGGGUAACGGCCCACCAAGGCGACGAUCAGUAGGGGUUCUGAGAGGAAGGUCCCCCACAUUGGAACUGAGACACGGUCCAAACUCCUACGGGAGGCAGCAGUGAGGAAUAUUGGUCAAUGGACGAGAGUCUGAACCAGCCAAGUAGCGUGCAGGAUGACGGCCCUAUGGGUUGUAAACUGCUUUUAUAAGGGAAUAAAGUGAGCCUCGUGAGGCUUUUUGCAUGUACCUUAUGAAUAAGGACCGGCUAAUUCCGUGCCAGCAGCCGCGGUAAUACGGAAGGUCCGGGCGUUAUCCGGAUUUAUUGGGUUUAAAGGGAGCGUAGGCCGGAGAUUAAGCGUGUUGUGAAAUGUAGACGCUCAACGUCUGCACUGCAGCGCGAACUGGUUUCCUUGAGUACGCACAAAGUGGGCGGAAUUCGUGGUGUAGCGGUGAAAUGCUUAGAUAUCACGAAGAACUCCGAUUGCGAAGGCAGCUCACUGGAGCGCAACUGACGCUGAAGCUCGAAAGUGCGGGUAUCGAACAGGAUUAGAUACCCUGGUAGUCCGCACGGUAAACGAUGGAUGCCCGCUGUUGGUCUGAAUAGGUCAGCGGCC